rnacentral:rRNA from 1 species
CCUACGGGCGGCAGCAGUGGGGAAUAUUGCACAAUGGGGGAAACCCUGAUGCAGCGACGCCGCGUGAGUGAAGAAGGAUCUCGGUACGUAAAGCUCUAUCAGCAGGGAAGAAAAGGACGGUACCUGACUAAGAAGCCGCGGCGAACUACGUGCCAGCAGCCGCGGUAAUACGGACGGGGCAAGCGUUAUACGGAUUUACUGGGGGUAACGGGAGCGUAGACGGCAGCACAAGUCUGGAGGGAAAUCCCGGGGCUUAACCCCGGAACUGCUUUGGAAACUGUGCGGCUGGAGUGCAGGAGGGGUAAGCGGAAUUCCUAGUGUAGCGGUGACAUGCGUAGAUAUUAGGAGGAACCCCGGUGGCGAAGGCGGCUUACUGGCCUGUAACUGACGUUGAGGCUCGAAAGCGUGGGGAGCAAACAGGAUUAGAUACCCUGGUAGUC